rnacentral:rRNA from 1 species
GGCGGCGUGCCUAAUACAUGCAAGUAGAACGCUGAAGGAGGAGCUUGCUUCUCCGGAUGAGUUGCGAACGGGUGAGUAACGCGUAGGUAACCUGCCUGGUAGCGGGGGAUAACUAUUGGAAACGAUAGCUAAUACCGCAUAAUAGCAGUUAUUGCAUGAUAACUGUUUGAAAGGUGCAAUUGCACCACUACCAGAUGGACCUGCGUUGUAUUAGCUAGUUGGUGGGGUAACGGCUCACCAAGGCGACGAUACAUAGCCGACCUGAGAGGGUGAUCGGCCACACUGGGACUGAGACACGGCCCAGACUCCUACGGGAGGCAGCAGUAGGGAAUCUUCGGCAAUGGACGGAAGUCUGACCGAGCAACGCCGCGUGAGUGAAGAAGGUUUUCGGAUCGUAAAGCUCUGUUGUAAGAGAAGAACGAGUGUGAGAGUGGAAAGUUCACACUGUGACG